rfam:Oryza nivara chromosome 8, whole genome shotgun sequence.
AAAAAAACAAACCCUGAAUUUCCAUGUCCAACAUUUGACCGUCCGUCUUAUUUGAUAAAAUUAUAAAAAAAAUUUAAAAAUAUAAGUCACGCAUAAAGUAUUAAUCAUGUUUUAUCAUAUAACAAUAAUGAAAAUACUAAUUAUAAAAAAAUUUCAUAUAAGACGGAUAGUCAAAUGUUGGACAUGGAAACCCAGGGUUUGCCUUUUU